rnacentral:rRNA from 1 species
AAAUUGAAGAGUUUGAUCAUGGCUCAGAUUGAACGCUGGCGGCAGGCCUAACACAUGCAAGUCGAACGGUAACAGGAAGAAGCUUGCUUCUUUGCUGACGAGUGGCGGACGGGUGAGUAAUGUCUGGGAAACUGCCUGAUGGAGGGGGAUAACUACUGGAAACGGUA